AACGAACGCUGGCGGCAGGCUUAACACAUGCAAGUCGAACGGUUGUAGCAAUACAGCAGUGGCAGACGGGUGAGUAACGCGUGGGAACCUUCCUAGGGGUACGGAACAACUCAGGGAAACUUGAGCUAAUACCGUAUACGUCCGUGAGGAGAAAGAUUUAUCGCCCUUAGACGGGCCCGCGUCGGAUUAGCUAGUUGGUGGGGUAACGGCCUACCAAGGCGACGAUCCGUAGCUGACCUUAGAGGAUGAUCAGCCACACUGGGACUGAGACACGGCCCAGACUCCUACGGGAGGCAGCAGUGGGGAAUCUUGGACAAUGGGCGCAAGCCUGAUCCAGCCAUGCCGCGUGAGUGAAGAAGGUCUUCGGAUUGUAAAGCUCUUUUGCCAGGGACGAUAAUGACGGUACCUGGAGAAUAAGCCCCGGCAAACUUCGUGCCAGCCGCCGCCGUAAUAC
rnacentral:rRNA from 1 species